rnacentral:lncRNA from 1 species
UGGAGUUUAGUUUAAUAACAGAUGUGACAUCAGAGUGAAUGGAUUCUCUUUCCAUUAGGUGGCAUAUUAGUAAGCUGUCUAUAAUACGAAAUCUGUGAGUUCUGUCAGAAAACCACGCAGCAAGUUGUUAGAAAAUCAACUCUUCCUUAAGGAAAAAAAUGAUCCUUUAUAAAAGCACAAAGUAUUUCUUAUUUAGCAAAACACACUUGCCUUCUGGAUAAGUAUAGUCAUCUGGAAUGUUUUUGAUGGCAAAAAACUAAAAACUACUACAGUGGCUUGAAGAGAUGAGUUACUUGUCUCACAUUAAUAAGAAGAAGUCUAAGGGAAAGUGUCCCAGAAGUACUGUGGUCCAUCACAAGUAGGUUUUUUC